rnacentral:lncRNA from 1 species
AGAAACCUGGCUAUGGCACUGGCUACACCUAUAAGUAUAAAGAUGUGCCCUGACCGCAUCAACGAAGAACAUCUAAUACAGCAGCCUCAAGAAGCUGCCCGUCUGGCAAGCCGAGAGCACCAACCGGUCUAGCUAGGCAUCCCACAACGUGCACCGCAUGCGCACGCUCUAGGAUCCGUCGCCACCAUCUUCCACCGUCCAAUUUUCAGGAGGGAUAAUUGCAUAGGACCUUGUAAGGCCAUCUGUCAUUGACUUCACCACGACGCCAGAUAACACCACCAGCAUGCGCGUUCGUCAAACCACGUCCAACACCGAGACUCCACUGUUCCACAUGAUCGAGACCCCUCUUCUUCAACGCGGUAGAUGCAACACUGCUCCACUUGUUGGCCCCUCGAGUGAAUCUCUGCUCACAAACAAUGGCCUCAGGAGGGAAAACGGCUCCACAGUCUCAUAGUAUUGAAGCCAAAAGAUAUAAGUUUAAUAAUGAUAGUGCAACUUAUUUAUGGCACUGCCGUUUAGGUCAUAUUGGUGUAAAGCGCAUGAAGAAACUCCAUGUUGAUGGGCUUUUGGAAUCACUUGAUUAUGAAUCAAUUGAUGCUUGCGAACCAUGCCUCAUGGGAAAGAUGACUAAGACUUCGUUCUCCGGAACAAUGGAACGAGCAACCGACUUAUUGGAGAUAAUACAUACUAAUGCAUGUGGUCCAAUGAGUGUUGAUGCUUGUGGAGGGUAUCAUUAUUUUCUGACCUUCACAGAUGAUUUGAGCACAUAUGGGUACAUCUACUUGAUGAAACAUAAGUCUGAAACAUUUGAAAAGUUCAAAGAAUUUCCGAGUGAAGUGGAAAAUCAUCGUAACAAGAAAAUUAAGUUUCUACGAUCUGAUCAUGGAGGUGAAUAUUUGAGUUAUGAGUUUGGUCUUCAUUUGAAACAAUGCAGAAUAGUUUCGCAACUCACGCCACCUGGAACACCACAGUGUAAUGGUGUGCCCGAACGUCGUAACCGCACUUUAUUAGAUAUGGUGUGAUCUAUGAUGUCUCUUACUGAUUUACCGCUAUUAUUUUGGGGUUAUGCUUUAGAGACGGCUGCAUGCACGUUAAAUAGGGCACCAUCGAAAUCCGUUGAGACGACACCAUAUGAACUGUGGUUUGGCAAGAAACCCAAGUUGUCGUUUCUUAAAGUUUGGGGCUGCGAUGCUUAUGUGAAAAGGCUUCAACCUGAUAAGCUUGAACCCAAAUCGGAGAAAUGUAUCCUCAUAGGAUACCCAAAGGAGACUAUUGGGUACACCUUCUAUUGCAGAUCCGAAGGCAAGAUAUUUGUUGCUAAGAAUGGAUCCUUUCUAGAGAAGGAGUUUCUCUCGAAAGAAGUGAGUGGAAGGAAAGUAGAACUUGAUGAGGUAAUUGUACCCGCUCCCUUAUUGGAAAGUAGUUCAUCACAGAAAUCAGUUCCAGUGAUUCCUACACCAAUUAGUGAGGAAGCUAAUGAUGAUGAUCAUGAAACUUCUAAUCAAGUUACUAUCGAACCUCAUAGGUCAACGAGAGUAAGAUCCGCACCAGAGUGGUAUGAUAAUCCUAUUCUGGAGGUCAUGUUACUUGACCAUGACGAACCUACGAACUAUGAGGAAGCGAUGAUGAGCCUAGAUUCCGCAAAAUAGCUUGAGGCCAUGAAAUCUAAGAUGGGAUCCAUGUAUGAGAACAAAGUGUGUACUUUGGUUGACUUGCCUGAUGAUCGGCAAGCCAUAGAGAAUAAAUGGAUCUUCAAGAAGAAGACUGAAGCUGACGGUAAUGUUACUGUCUACAAAGCUCGACUUGUUGUGAAAGGUUUUCGACAAGUUCAAGGAGUUGACUACGAUGAGACCUUCUCACCCGUAGCAAUGCUUAAGUCCGUCUGAAUCAUGUUACCAAUUGCCGCAUUUUAUGAUUAUGAAAUUUGGCAAAUGGAUGUCAAAACUGUAUUCCUUAAUGGAUAUCUUAAAGAAGAGUUGUAUAUGAUGCAACCAGAAGGUUUUGUUGAUCCAAAAGAUGCUAACAGAGUGUGUAAGAUCCAACGAUCCAUUUAUGGACUGGUGCAAGCAUCUCAGAGUUGGAAUAUACGCUUUGAUAGUGUGAUCAAAGCAUAUGGUUUUAUACAGACUUUUGGAGAAGCCUGUAUUUACAAGAAAGUGAGUGGGAGCUCUGUAGCAUUUCUGAUAUUAUAUGUGGAUGACAUAUUGUGGAUUGGAAAUAAUACUGAAUUUCUGAAAGGCAUAAAAAGAUACUUGAAUAAGAAUUUUUCAAUGAAAGACCUUGGUGAAGCUGCUUAUAUAUUGGACAUCAAGAUAUAUAGAGAUAGAUCAAGACGCUUAAUUGGACUUCCACAAAGCACAUACCUUGAUAAAGUUUUAAAGAGGUUCAAAAUGGAUCAAGCAAAGAAAGGGUUCUUGCCUGUGUUACAAGGUGUGAAGUUGAGUCAGACUCACUGACCGUUCACUGACCGACUGAUGAACGGCGGGGUCACCCUUGAUCAGGGUUUGGCACUGAUACGUCUCCGUCGUAUCUACUUUUCCAAAUACUUUUGUCCUUGUUUUGGACUCUAACUUGCAUUAUUUGAAUGGAACUAACCCGGACUGACGCUGUUUUCAGCAGAAUUGCCAUGGUGUUAUUUAUGUGCAGAAACAGAAGUUCUCGGAAUGACCUGAAACUUCACGGAACGUCUUUUUGGAAAUAAUAAAAAAAUCCUUGCAAAAGAUGAAGACCAGGGGCCCACCACCUGUCCACCAGGGUGGGGGCGCGCCUGCCCCCCAGGGCGCGCCCCCUACCUCGUGGGCCUCCUGGAGCUCCUCCGACCUCAACUCCAACUCUAUGUAUUUGGUUUCGGGGAGAAAAAAUCAAAGAGAAGAAUUCAUCGCGUUUUACGAUACAGAGCCGCCGCCAAGCCCUAAAACCUCUCGGGAGGGCUGAUCUGGAGUCCGUUCGGGGCUCCGGAGAGGGAAAUCCGUCGCCAUCGUCAUCAUCAACCAUCCUCCAUCACCAAUUUCAUGAUGCUCACUGUCGUGCGUGAGUAAUUCCAUCGUAGACUUGCUGGACGGUGAUAGGUUGGAUGAGAUCUAUCAUGUAAUCGAAUUAGUUUUGUUAGGGUUUGAUCCCUAGUAUCCAUUAUGUUCUAAGAUUGAUGUUGCUAUGACUUUGCUAUGCUUAAUGCUUGUCACUAGGGCCCGAGUGCCAUGAUUUCAGAUCUGAACCUGUUAUGUUUUCAUCAAUAUAUGAGAGUUCUUGACUUGCAAGUCUAUAGUCACCUAUUAUGUGUUAUGAUCCGUUAACCCCAAAGUGACAAUAAUCGGGAUACUUACCGGUGAUGACCAUAGUUUGAGGAGUUCAUGUAUUCACUAUGUGUUAAUGCUUUGUUUCGGUACUCUAUUAAAAUGAGGCCUUAAUAUCCAUUAGUUUCCAUUAGGACCCCGCUGCCACGGGAGGGUAGGACAAAAGAUGUCAUGCAAGUUCUUUUCCAUAAACACGUAUGACUAUAUUCGGAAUACAUGCCUACAUUACAUUGAUGAACUGGAGCUAGUUCUAUGUCACCCUAUGUUAUGAUUGUUACAUGAUGAACCGCAUUCGGCAUAAUUCUCCAUCACUGAUCCAUUACCUACGAGCUUUUCAUAUAUUGUUCUUCGCUUAUUUACUUUUUCGUUGCUAUUGCUAUCAUCAUUACAAAAUACCAAAAACAUUACUUUUGCUAUCAUUACCUUUUGCUACCGCUACCACUACUAUCAUAUUACUUUGCUACUAAAUACUUUGCUGCGGAUAUUAAGUUUCCAGGUGUGGUUGAAUUGACAACUCAGCUGCUAAUACUUGAGAAUAUUCUUUGGCUCCCCUUGUGUCGAAUCAAUAAAUUUGGGUUGAAUACUCUACCCUCGAAAACUGUUGCGAUCCCCUAUACUUGUGGGUUAUCAAGCACCCUUCACCGCCCUCCACCAGAUCUGGAUCAGGUACAUUGUGACUUUCAAGUUGCUGAGUCUGGACACACUCAAGGUGAUCGUCUUCAACGACUACGACAUUGAAGUGGUGAUCAAGUGCGGGAGGCACAACGACACCUUCGUCGUGAAUGUCUAGGAGAGCUCUUUGUUGCGGGUGCUGCUUUGGUUAGUUUAGUAUCUUACUAGACUGGUUGAAAACUGCUUCGUUGAAGUGUCACACUAUUGUGAAAACUCCUUGGUUUGGUUUGAAACUAUGUUUAUAUGCUAUCUAUUUGUGUGUUUUAGGUUUGUUGUGCCAGCCUAGUGUGCUAGUAACCUCACCACCUCCACGAGAAGGUUACAAAACAACAUGCGUUGCAUGUAACCGAACACCAUGGCUUCUGUUUCCACCUAAACUGGUGGGCAACCAAACAGCCUACCUUUUGUUUCGUCCCAUGCAAGCUAGAGGAUAUGCAGGCGACCAAAUAACACGUAGAUGCUAUUUUUGUAUUUUUUGGAAAGAAGGAUUAUCCCCGACCUCUACAUCAAAAUGAUGCAUGCAACUAUAUUUAUUAAGUUAUUCAACAAAGUCUUACAAAAUAAAUACAAAGAUAAACCCAAAGCCACCUUCGAGGUGAAAGAAGUCGCUGCACCCAGGGGCGUAGCCAUGCCCAGGGCUACCAGGGCGGUGGCCUCGGGCGUGUGGUGUGUUUUCUUUGUUAAUUUUAGCUACAGUCAUAUACUGUAGCUAUAGUACUUACUGUGCAUGCACUGCUAGCCCGGGGUGUAAGAGAAACCUGGCUAUGGCACUGGCUACACCUAUAAGUAUAAAGAUGUGCCCUGACCGCAUCAACGAAGAACAUCUAAUACAGCGGCCUCAAGAAGCUGCCCGUCUGGCAAGCUGAGAGCACCAACCGUUCUAGCUAGGCAUCCCACAACGUGCACCGCAUGCGCACGCUCUAGGAUCCGCCGCCACCAUCUUCCACCGUCCAAUUUUCAGGAGGGAUAAUUGCAUAGGACCUUGUAAGGCCAUCUGUCAUUGACUUCACCACGACGCCAGAUAACACCACCAGC